GCCCGCGUUGUCUAAUGGUUAUGACGUCAGACUUCUACGCUUAACGUUAAUCUGGAGGUUGCGGGUUCGAAUCCCGCCGUGGGUU